AUGGGCUAUUUUCAAGGCAGAUACAUCUUUGAAUGUUUCCCAAUUUUUCCAGAGAAGGUAGGACGUCAGAAGUUCUGCCAUUGUUGAAGGCAUUGAGGAAUAUGGUGCAGAAUUCUGAGGACUACUUUUGGGAGUUUCAAGGAUCACACAGAACCUCUGUUUAUCUGUUUCUGUUUCUGCAUCUCUGCAUUAGCUUUGUUAGGACCAGUUUCAGUUGAAGAUGAACUACUGGCAACAAAGAAUGCUUAGAGGAUGGAGUCCCCAGUGAUAGACAGAUAAAGCAGCUUACAAGUAACAACAACUGUUAAAAGGAACAUAAUAAACAUUUUAAAAAAACAGAA